rnacentral:lncRNA from 1 species
AAUUUAAAAAAAAACCAAACUGACCCUAGCCUUCUCUGCUAGGGUUCUUGCUCUUCCUAUUACCGCCGCCGCCGUUAGGCCGUCCUUUGGCCUCCAACGACGUCCCGGCCUCUGAUUGCGACGGAGGGGGGACACCACGACGAUGAAUCCGGCGAAAGAGGUAGGUUUCCUUUCCCCUCUUUUAUAUUUUAAGCGAAAUAAAUAAAAAUAAAACAAAAAAAAGAUAUAUAAAAAAAACUUUGAAUGAUGAACACCGAGUAAAACAGAAAAAAUCACCCUUUUUAUUUUUUUGAUUUUUCUCUUCUCCGUAUUUUCGUUCCUCUUUUUCCCUCCCUGUUUACAUAUUGAAGUUGGCCUUUUAUAGCCAACAGUAGAAAACAAAAAUAAAUCUAAAAAACGAAAUCUCUUAUGCUAUCCCUAUUUCAUUGCGGUUUGUUUUUGUUUGCUGUUGCAGGUGCGAUGCGCAAGGCAUGGCGCUCGUGGAGGAGUGGCGCACGUGGAGGCGCAAAUUGCGCGGAGGGAGGCUUCUGGCCCCGAGUCGUGCGGCGGUUGGGGUUGCUUGGCUACGGCGCUAGGAGUUGUGCUGAAGGUUCUAGGGUUUUUUAGUGUUGGGCUGGUUUGGUUAUUGUUUGGGUAAUUGGGCUUGAGUUUUAAUUUUGUUGGGCCUGUAUUGGUUUAGGCCCGGGCAAUAACUGGGCUCUACAGUUUGCGUUUAAUUGUUGAUUUGGUCCUUUAGUUUUGAAAUAAAUUUUGAUUUAAU